GAAGACGACGAGGUAGAUAGGUUGGGGGUGGAAGUGCAGUAAUGCAUGGAGCUGACCAAUACUAAUCGGUCGAGGGCUUAUCCUAAA
rnacentral:rRNA from 2 species